UACAGAGACUGCAAGCGUUAUUCGGAUUCACUGGGCGUAAAGGGUGCGCAGGCGGCCAAGUGUGCAAGGCGUGAAAGCCUGGAGCUUAACUCCAGAAUUGCACCUCAAACUACAUGGCUAGAGCAUUGGAGAGGGUAGCGGAAUUCACGGUGUAGCAGUGAAAUGCGUAGAUAUCGUGAGGAACACCAGAGGCGAAGGCGGCUACCUGGACAAUUGCUGACGCUCAGGCACGAAAGCGUGGGGAGCAAACAGG
rnacentral:rRNA from 1 species